rnacentral:rRNA from 1 species
AAAUUGAAGAGUUUGAUCAUGGCUCAGAUUGAACGCUGGCGGCAGGCCUAACACAUGCAAGUCGAACGGUAACAGGAAGCAGCUUGCUGCUUUGCUGACGAGUGGCGGACGGGUGAGUAAUGUCUGGGAAACUGCCUGAUGGAGGGGGAUAACUACUGGAAACGGUGGCUAAUACCGCAUAAUGUCGCAAGACCAAAGAGGGGGACCUUCGGGCCUCUUGCCAUCAGAUGUGCCCAGAUGGGAUUAGCUUGUUGGUGAGGUAACGGCUC